rnacentral:rRNA from 1 species
CCUACGGGGGGCUGCAGUGGGGAAUCUUGCGCAAUGAGCGACAGCUUGACGCAGCAACGCCGCGUGGGGGAAGAAGGCUUUCGGGUCGUAAACCCCUUUCAGUUAGGACGAAGCUUCGUUGGUUAAUAACCAACCGGAGUGACGGUACUUUCAGAAGAAGCCCCGGCUAACUACGUGCCAGCAGCCGCGGUAAUACGUAGGGGGCAAGCGUUGUCCGGAAUCAUUGGGCGUAAAGAGCGUGUAGGCGGCCUGAUCAGUCUGCUGUGAAAGUCCAGGGCUU